CUGGUUUGGCGUAGUAGCCACGAGGCUCUAUACACCGCAAGGUCGGUGGGUACAUGGAGCCUGUGUCCUGUUCUCUGGUCCAGGACGCACUGUGUGGGACACCUUGCAACGAAUGCUCAUUAGGGGACUCGGGGGGUCAGUUCUACCUACCAGUCGGAGUUAAAAGCCCAAGGCAGAGACAACUGCGUAUCCCUCCCAGGCUCAAGAUAAUGCUGGGAUGUGUGUCGCCCUGCUAGGUCUGAAACCCGCUUCCUCUUUUGGUGUGGACCCUGUGGGUGGUCUUCAGCAUGCCCCUCCCCUGGCAUGCUUGGCUCCACACUUGCCUCAGAGGUCCCGACCACCUGGGCAGAAGGAGACACACUCAAGGCAAGGAACACCCCCUCUCCCACCUGGGCAUCUGCCAGGACUACCUUGAAGGAAUGGCUGAAGACCUACCUUACUGUCUGAGGGGCUACCUUGGUGUGUGGACCGAGGGUACCACCCAUCAGGCCGGGCCUCUGCACUCAGAGCUGUCCUCGGAGCCUCACACUCAGAGCUCUCAGAAUCUGAGCCAGCUGGUG